rnacentral:rRNA from 1 species
UACGUAGGGUGCGAGCGUUGUCCGGAAUUAUUGGGCGUAAAGGGCUCGUAGGCGGUUUGUCGCGUCGGGAGUGAAAACCUUGGGCUUAACUCAGGGCUUGCUUUCGAUACGGGCAGACUAGAGUGCGGUAGGGGAGACUGGAAUUCCUGGUGUAGCGGUGAAAUGCGCAGAUAUCAGGAGGAACACCGGUGGCGAAGGCGGGUCUCUGGGCCGUAACUGACGCUGAGGAGCGAAAGCGUGGGGAGCGAACAGG